GCUCAGGACGAACGCUGGCGGCGUGCCUAAUACAUGCAAGUCGAGCGAACAGAAGGGAGCUUGCUCCCGGAUGUUAGCGGCGGACGGGUGAGUAACACGUGGGUAACCUGCCUGUAAGACUGGGAUAACUCCGGGAAACCGGAGCUAAUACCGGAUAGUUCCUUGAACCGCAUGGUUCAAGGAUGAAAGACGGUUUCGGCUGUCACUUACAGAUGGACCCGCGGCGCAUUAGCUAGUUGGUGGGGUAAUGGCUCACCAAGGCGACGAUGCGUAGCCGACCUGAGAGGGUGAUCGGCCACACUGGGACUGAGACACGGCCCAGACUCCUACGGGAGGCAGCAGUAGGGAAUCUUCCGCAAUGGACGAAAGUCUGACGGAGCAACGCCGCGUGAGUGAUGAAGGUUUUCGGAUCGUAAAGCUCUGUUGUUAGGGAAGAACAAGUGCGAGAGUAACUGCUCGCACCUUGACGGUACCUAACCAGAAAGCCACGGCUAACUACGUGCCAGCAGCCGCGGUAAUACGUAGGUGGCAAGCGUUGUCCGGAAUUAUUGGGCGUAAAGGGCUCGCAGGCGGUUUCUUAAGUCUGAUGUGAAAGCCCCCGGCUCAACCGGGGAGGGUCAUUGGAAACUGGGAAACUUGAGUGCAGAAGAGGAGAGUGGAAUUCCACGUGUAGCGGUGAAAUGCGUAGAGAUGUGGAGGAACACCAGUGGCGAAGGCGACUCUCUGGUCUGUAACUGACGCUGAGGAGCGAAAGCGUGGGGAGCGAACAGGAUUAGAUACCCUGGUAGUCCACGCCGUAAACGAUGAGUGCUAAGUGUUAGGGGGUUUCCG
rnacentral:rRNA from 2 species